rnacentral:misc_RNA from 1 species
GCACCAUUUUGCAUGAAUCGAUCCUCCCCGUGAAACAAUACCAGUCAUUCUUUUUGCUGUAAGAGGAAUGUAACGAAGCAGCACACCAGCAUGGAUUGUGAAGUAAUCGACACCCUGCUCAGCUUGUUCAAUAAGGGUUUCUUUGAAAAUUUGCCAGUUAAGGUUCUCCGCAACACCAUUCACUUUCUCGAGAGCUUGGUAUAUAGGGACAGUUCCUACUGGCACAGCAGAGUUACGGAUAAUCCAUUCACGAGUUUCAUGAAUAUGGCGACCUGUUGAAAGAUCCAUGACUGUAUCAGCACCCCACAUUGUUGCCCACUGAAGCUUAUGUACCUCAUCUUCAAUAGAGCUCAGCACAGCGGAGUUCCCAAUGUUUGCAUUCACUUUGACCAAGAAUUUCCUCCCGACUAUCGUCGGCU